GUGGGGAAUAUUGGACAAUGGGCGGAAGCCUGAUCCAGCCAUGCCGCGUGUGUGAAGAAGGCCUUUUGGUUGUAAAGCACUUUAAGCGAGGAGGAGGCUCCUUUAGUUAAUACCUAAAGAGAGUGGACGUUACUCGCAGAAUAAGCACCGGCUAACUCUGUGCCAGCAGCCGCGGUAAUACAGAGGGUGCGAGCGUUAAUCGGAUUUACUGGGCGUAAAGCGUGCGUAGGCGGCUUUUUAAGUCGGAUGUGAAAUCCCUGAGCUUAACUUAGGAAUUGCAUUCGAUACUGGAAAGCUAGAGUAUGGGAGAGGAUGGUAGAAUUCCAGGUGUAGCGGUGAAAUGCGUAGAGAUCUGGAGGAAUACCGAUGGCGAAGGCAGCCAUCUGGCCUAAUACUGACGCUGAGGUACGAAAGCAUGGGGAGCAAACAGGAUUAGAAACCCGAGUAGUCC
rnacentral:rRNA from 1 species